CACCACAAUCAGCCGGGGUUUUGUUUGGUUUGUUGAUGAGGAGCACAGCAGUCCACCAAAGAAGAGGAUGCGGACAGCGGACGCGGAGAGAAAAAGAGCAAAAUAAAUAGAAAAGGGGCGACGUCUGAACUGGAGUUUUCACGGAUUUUCAAGGGCCUGUGAGAUGGAAAGUUCCAUUCAAGGCCCACUAGUCAGAAGUCGGAAGAUAAAACACAAGAAAUUUCUUCGUCAUUAUAGAGACUACUGACAGCUCUCCCCCAAAGUAAUUUGUUCCAACCAAAUUUAGCGGAAUCUCAGCUGAGAAGAAAGCAGAGAAAAGUCUUCUUCUCGGAUCUCUGCGUGAGAGUCUAUUCCUUCUGUGCGGGGAGUCGGGGACUAAGCAUGUCUGCAGAAGCGGGUGCUGCUUCAGCUGAAGGAAAUAAUAUCAGGGGAAUACUCACUCAUGGAGGUCGAUAUGUUCAGUACAAUGUUUAUGGGAAUCUUUUCGAGGUGCCUACUAAGUAUGUUCCUCCGAUACGGCCUGUUGGAAGAGGUGCUUAUGGCAUUGUCUGUGCUGCUGUGAAUUCAGAGACACGUGAAGAGGUUGCAAUUAAGAAGAUUAGUAAUGCAUUUGACAAUAGAAUUGAUGCUAAAAGGACAUUGAGGGAAAUUAAGCUUCUGCGCCACAUGGAUCAUGAAAAUAUUGCUGUUUUCUUGCUGAAAUGGCCUUUGAUAGAGACGAUAUUAUUCCUAUAAAAUUGGAAGGAUCAACCUAUGGAAUUGACACUGUUGCUGUAGCACAUGGGAGUAAGAAAUCUACUACUAGUGGUGAUUCUUUUGUUAAAGGUACACAUGGAUAUACUUUCUUUGCCACAAGUUUGAGGUGUUCCCAACAUUUAAGCUAUUUCAUGCUAAGGUAUGGGUUUAGUUUCAAUCACAAGUGCAUAUUCUUCGUUCGGAUUUAGGGGGAGAAUACAUUGAUGGAGAUUUUUUUAUCCUAUUUGAAGAAUCAUGGAAUACAAGUGUGAUGAAGUUGUCCAGAUACUCCUUGGCAGAAUGGUGUGGCCGAGUGCAAGAAUGGGCAUAUCCUUAAUGUUGUGAGGACAUUAUUGCAAGAGUCCCAUACUCCACAUUCUUUUUGGGUAGAGGCGGCUAGUACAAUUGUGUUUUUUGAUCAACUAUUUUCCUUCCCCUGUUCUUGGUUAUAUGCCUUCCUUUUAGAAGUUUGGUCGUUCUCCAAAUUUAUCUAUUCUUCAUGUUUUUGAAUGUGUGUUUCGUUCAUCUUCCCUCUCGUGAACAUUCUAAAUUGCCUGCACAGUUUGCCAUGUGUGCCUUUGUGGGUUACAGUCCUGACUACAAAGGAUUUCUUUGUUAUGAUCCCUUUAUUCAUUGCAUUCGUGUAUCAUGUAAUGUUGUUUUCCUUGAGCACAUUUCUUUUUUCUGUCGAAUUGCUAGACUGUUUGCACCAUCUAUUUCUGUUUUGCCAAACUAUGAUUCACAUGAUGCUCUACCUCAUUCUACUGAGAAGGACCUUCUCGUCUUCUCUCGCAAACGGUUACGUGCUCCAGUCCCUGCGCCUGCGACUCUCCUUCCUCCCGGUUCAGAUCAUCAUCUUACCACUGCUUCUAUGUUCCUCGCUCCUACCAGGAAGCUAAUAGUAGCCCUCAUUGGAAGGAAACCAUGGAUGUAGAGAUUCAUGCUUUACAUGAUAAUGACACUUAAGACUUUGUGCAUGCUCCUCCAGAUGCAUCCAUUGUUGGGAGUCGUUGGAUUUACAACAUCAAGCUGAAAUCUAAUGGAUCUUUUGAUCGAUAUAAGGCAUGUUUAGUUGCCUAGGGAUAUAGUUAGGAGUAUGGUAUCGACUAUGAAGAAACCUUUGCUCCUGUUGCAAAGAUCACCACAACCCGUGUUCUUUUAGCAGUGUAUGUUGCUCAAUCUUGGACCAUAUGCCAGCUUGAUGUGAAGAAUGCCUUUCUUCAUGGUCAGUUGAAGGAGACGGUCUACAUGAAGCCUCCUCCUGGAUACUGCAGUGAUUCUUCUUUAGUAUGCCGCCUAAAAAAAUCUCUAUAUGGUCUAAAACAAGUUCCCCGGGCAUGGUUUGAACGCUUUCGCGAUGUCGUAGUUGUUGGAUAUAGCCAGAGUUCUUUUGAUCACUCUCUCUUUGUUAGGCGAUGGCCUCAAGUUGAGAGCAUAUGCUGAUGCAGACUGGGCUGGUUGUCCAGACACUUGUAGGUCCACUUAUGGGUGGUGUUUUUAUGGGUGAUUCACUCAUCUCUUGGAAGUACAAUACGAGUGCUAUCAAGAUUGCAUCUAAUUCUGUCUUCCGUGAGAGGACCAAGCACAUCAGGGUGGACUAUCACUUUAUUCGAGAUCUUUUCACUACUGGGUCUAUAUUGUUUCCUCAUGCAGUCUCGGACAUGCAGAUUGCUAAUAUCUUCAACAAAGCUAUGACUAGAAUUUGACAUCUCUUUCUUAUAGACAAACUAAUGCUUAUGUCUAGGCAUCAGUUUGAGGGGGAGUGUGGAGAUUGUAACUUGAUGUAUCUUAUUAGUAUAGACUUAUAGUCCCUGUUGUGUAUUACUUAUACAUCUUAUUUUUCUUUUCUCUUUCAACCCUAUAUGGGCAUUUUUGUAAUUGUACAUAUCGUUUAAUAUAUAA